rnacentral:rRNA from 1 species
GACAGGAGGGUGCAAACGUUGUUCGGAAUUACUGGGCGUAAAGCGCGUGUAGGCGGCUAUGUAAGUCGGGCGUGAAAUCCCACGGCUCAACCGUGGAAGUGCACCCGAAACUGCGUAGCUAGAGUCCUGGAGAGGAAGGUGGAAUGCUUGGUGUAGAGGUGAAAUCGUAGAUAUCAAGCGGAACACCGGUGGCGAAGGCGGCCUCUGGACAGUGG